GUAGGUAUAGCUCAGUGGUAGAGCACCUGCUUAGCAUGCAGGUGGUCCUGGUUCAAUUCCCAGUUCCUCCA
rnacentral:tRNA from 1 species